rnacentral:rRNA from 1 species
ACUAAGCGUACACGGUGGAUGCCCUGGCAGUCAGAGGCGAUGAAGGACGUGCUAAUCUGCGAUAAGCGCCGGUAAGGUGAUAUGAACCGUUAUAACCGGCGAUUUCCGAAUGGGGAAACCCAGUGUGAUUCGUCACACUAUCAUUAACUGAAUCCAUAGGUUAAUGAGGCGAACCGGGGGAACUGAAACAUCUAAGUACCCCGAGGAAAAGAAAUCAACCGAGAUUCCCCCAGUAGCGGCGAGCGAACGGGGAGGAGCCCAGAGCCUGAAUCAGCAUGUGUGUUAGUGGAAGCGUCUGGAAAGGCGCGCGAUACAGGGUGACAGCCCCGUACACAAAAGCGCAUGUGCUGUGAGCUCGAUGAGUAGGGCGGGACACGUGGUAUCCUGUCUGAAUAUGGGGGGACCAUCCUCCAAGGCUAAAUACUCCUGACUGACCGAUAGUGAACCAGUACCGUGAGGGAAAGGCGAAAAGAACCCCGGCGAGGGGAGUGAAAAAGAACCUGAAACCGUGUACGUACAAGCAGUGGGAGCNUGAGGGAAAGGCGAAAAGAACCCCGGCGAGGGGAGUGAAAAAGAACCUGAAACCGUGUACGUACAAGCAGUGGGAGCCCCACCACUAAGCCAGUGGUGAACUCCACAUACGCAUCCUUUGCUGAGGAUACGGUUAACGGAGCGCAAGCGACGUUCAACCGCAAAAGAAGCAGAGGGGGCUUAGUGGUGGGGUGACUGCGUACCUUUUGUAUAAUGGGUCAGCGACUUAUAUUCUGUAGCAAGGUUAACCGUAUAGGGGAGCCGGAGGGAAACCGAGUCUUAAUUGGGCGUUAAGUUGCAGGGUAUAGACCCGAAACCCGGUGAUCUAGCCAUGGGCAGGUUNAGGGAAACCGAGUCUUAACCGGGCGUUAAGUUGCAGGGUAUAGACCCGAAACCCGGUGAUCUAGCCAUGGGCAGGUUGAAGGUUGGGUAACACUAACUGGAGGACCGAACCGACUAAUGUUGAAAAAUUAGCGGAUGACCUGUGGCUGGGGGUGAAAGGCCAAUCAAACCGGGAGAUAGCUGGUUCUCCCCGAAAGCUAUUUAGGUAGCGCCUCGUGAAUUCAUCUCCGGGGGUAGAGCACUGUUUCGGCUAGGGGGCCAUCCCGGCUUACCAACCCGAUGCAAACUGCGAAUACCGGAGAAUGUUAUCACGGGAGACACACGGCGGGUGCUAACGUCCGUCGUGAAGAGGGAAACAACCCAGACCGCCAGCUAAGGUCCCAAAGUCAUGGUUAAGUGGGAAACGAUGUGGGAAGGCCCAGACAGCCAGGAUGUUGGCUUAGAAGCAGCCAUCAUUUAAAGAAAGCGUAAUAGCUCACUGGUCGAGUCGGCCUGCGCGGAAGAUGUAACGGGGCUAAACCAUGCACCGAAGCUGCGGCAGCGAGUAAUAGCUCACUGGUCGAGUCGGCCUGCGCGGAAGAUGUAACGGGGCUAAACCAUGCACCGAAGCUGCGGCAGCGAACGUAUCACUUAAAGCGAUUCAGCGGGUUACGAUUGACGGAGCGAAGCGACGUCAAAGCGUAUACAAAGUCGAGUCGGUUUAAGGAUACGUUCGUUGGGUAGGGGAGCGUUCUGUAAGCCUGUGAAGGUGGCCUGUGAGGGUUGCUGGAGGUAUCAGAAGUGCGAAUGCUGACAUAAGUAACGAUAAAGCGGGUGAAAAGCCCGCUCGCCGGAAGACCAAGGGUUCCUGUCCAACGUUAAUCGGGGCAGGGUGAGUCGACCCCUAAGGCGAGGCCGAAAGGCGUAGUCGAUGGGAAACGGGUUAAUAUUCCCGUACUUGGUGUUACUGCGAAGGGGGGACGGAGAAGGCUAUGUUGGCCGGGCGACGGUUGUCCCGGUUUAAGCGUGUAGGUGUGUGUUCCAGGUAAAUCCGGUUCACUUUAACACUGAGGCGUGAUGACGAGGCACUACGGUGCUGAAGCAACAAAUGCCCUGCUUCCAGGAAAAGCCUCUAAGCAUCAGGUAACAUCAAAUCGUACCCCAAACCGACACAGGUGGUCAGGUAGAGAAUACCAAGGCGCUUGAGAGAACUCGGGUGAAGGAACUAGGCAAAAUGGUGCCGUAACUUCGGGAGAAGGCACGCUGACAUGUAGGUGAAGUGAUUUACUCAUGGAGCUGAAGUCAGUCGAAGAUACCAGCUGGCUGCAACUGUUUAUUAAAAACACAGCACUGUGCAAACACGAAAGUGGACGUAUACGGUGUGACGCCUGCCCGGUGCCGGAAGGUUAAUUGAUGGGGUCAGCGCAAGCGAAGCUCCUGAUCGAAGCCCCGGUAAACGGCGGCCGUAACUAUAACGGUCCUAAGGUAGCGAAAUUCCUUGUCGGGUAAGUUCCGACCUGCACGAAUGGCGUAAUGAUGGCCAGGCUGUCUCCACCCGAGACUCAGUGAAAUUGAACUCGCUGUGAAGAUGCAGUGUACCCGCGGCAAGACGGAAAGACCCCGUGAACCUUUACUAUAGCUUGACACUGAACAUUGAGCCUUGAUGUGUAGGAUAGGUGGGAGGCUUUGAAGCGUGGACGCCAGUCUGCGUGGAGCCGGCCUUGAAAUACCACCCUUUAAUGUUUGAUGUUCUAACGUGGACCCGUGAUCCGGGUUGCGGACAGUGUCUGGUGGGUAGUUUGACUGGGGCGGUCUCCUCCUAAAGAGUAACGGAGGAGCACGAAGGUUGGCUAAUCCUGGUCGGACAUCAGGAGGUUAGUGCAAUGGCAUAAGCCAGCUUGACUGCGAGCGUGACGGCGCGAGCAGGUGCGAAAGCAGGUCAUAGUGAUCCGGUGGUUCUGAAUGGAAGGGCCAUCGCUCAACGGAUAAAAGGUACUCCGGGGAUAACAGGCUGAUACCGCCCAAGAGUUCAUAUCGACGGCGGUGUUUGGCACCUCGAUGUCGGCUCAUCACAUCCUGGGGCUGAAGUAGGUCCCAAGGGUAUGGCUGUUCGCCAUUUAAAGUGGUACGCGAGCUGGGUUUAGAACGUCGUGAGACAGUUCGGUCCCUAUCUGCCGUGGGCGCUGGAGAACUGAGGGGGGCUGCUCCUAGUACGAGAGGACCGGAGUGGACGCAUCACUGGUGUUCGGGUUGUCAUGCCAAUGGCACUGCCCGGUAGCUAAAUGCGGAAGAGAUAAGUGCUGAAAGCAUCUAAGCACGAAACUUGCCCCGAGAUGAGUUCUCCCUGAGACUUAGAGUCUCCUGAAGGAACGUUGAAGACGACGACGUUGAUAGGCCGGGUGUGUAAGCGCAGCGAUGCGUUGAGCUAACCGGUACUAAUGAACCGUGAGGCUUAACC